rnacentral:rRNA from 1 species
AAUAUUGGACAAUGGGCGAAAGCCUGAUCCAGCAAUGCCGCGUGUGUGAAGACGGCCCUAGGGUUGUAAAGCACUUUCAGUAGGGAAGAAAAGCGAGAGGUUAAUACCCUCUCGUCAUGACGUUACCUACAGAAGAAGCACCGGCUAACUCCGUGCCAGCAGCCGCGGUAAUACGGAGGGUGCGAGCGUUAAUCGGAAUUACUGGGCGUAAAGGGCGCGUAGGUGGUUUGAUAAGUCGGAUGUGAAAGCCCCGGGCUUAACUCGGGAACUGCAUUCGAUACUGUCAGGCUUGAGUAUGGUAGAGGGAAGCGGAAUUCCGGGUGUAGCGGUGAAAUGCGUAGAUAUCCGGAGGAACACCAGUGGCGAAGGCGGCUUCCUGGACCAAUACUGACACUGAGGCGCGAAAGCGUGGGGAGCAAACAGGAUUAGAUACCCUGGUAGUCCACGCCCUA